ensembl:miRNA oni-mir-10594b oni-mir-10594b
UGACCCCGCCUGCACAGAGGGAGUUGUGGACAUCCAUUUCUGUGUCACUGGGUUUAGG